CUGGGGGGGGUCCUGGGGGGUCCUGGAGCGGAACCGAACCGCGAUGCAGAGACCCCAAUUCCUUCAACACCCCCGAGGAAGCGGCCGAGGCGUUCCUGGCGUCCCUGACCCAGAGUGUGGAGGCGGCCGAGGCCAACAGCACCCACGGCUCCACUGCCAAGAGAAGGAUCCGUUUGGAUUCGGGCUCGGCUCUCUCGGUGUUUUUGCUCCUGGAUUCCUCUCGCAGCAUCGCCGCUGCCGAUGCUGAGCGGGCCCGAGAGGCCCUCAGCGAGCUGGUGGAGAA